CGUAACAAGGUCUCCGUUGGUGAACCAGCGGAGGGAUCAUUACAGAGUUGCAAAACUCCAACAAACCAUCGCGAAUCUUACCCGUACGGUUGCCUCGGCGCUGGCGGUCCGGAAGGCCCUCGGGCCCCCGGAUCCUCGGGUCUCCCGCUCGCGGGAGGCUGCCCGCCGGAGUGCCGAAACCAAACUCUUGAUAUUUUAUGUCUCUCUGAGUAAACUUUUAAAUAAGUCAAAACUUUCAACAACGGAUCUCUUGGUUCUGGCAUCGAUGAAGAACGCAGCGAAAUGCGAUAAGUAAUGUGAAUUGCAGAAUUCAGUGAAUCAUCGAAUCUUUGAACGCACAUUGCGCUCGCCAGUAUUCUGGCGAGCAUGCCUGUUCGAGCGUCAUUUCAACCAUCAAGCUCUGCUUGCGUUGGGGAUCCGCGUCUGACGCGGUCCCUCAAAAACAGUGGCGGGCUCGCUAGUCACACCGAGCGUAGUAACUCUACAUCGCUAUGGUCGUGCGGCGGGUUCUUGCCGUAAAACCCCCAAUUUCUAAGGUUGACCUCGGAUCAGGUAGGAAUACCCGCUGAACUUAAGCAUAUCAAUAAGCGGAGGAAC
rnacentral:rRNA from 1 species